GCCAGACAUGGUGGUGCCUGCCUGUAAUCCCAGCAGCUUGGGAGGCUGAGGCAGGAGGAUCACUAAUUCAAAGCCAGUUUCAACAAUGGUGAGGCACUAAGCAACUUGGUGAGACCCUGUCUCUA
rnacentral:sRNA from 1 species